rnacentral:rRNA from 1 species
GCCAGCCGUCCGUAGCUCGUUGAAUGCACCACUUCCCGUCAGAUCAGUGAAGUUGAGUCAGCGAAUGCGUGGUUGGUACUCAGAUGGGUGAUUGUCUGAGUACUGAUUACGUGAUGCUGGCA